CCUACGGGGGGCAGCAGUGAGGAAUAUUGGUCAAUGGCCGGAAGUCUGAACCAGCCAAGCCGCGUGAAGGACGAAGGUGCCAAGCAUUGUAAACUUCUUUUGUCAAGGGACAAAAUCAGGCUCGAGAGCCUGACCGAGGGUACUUGAAGAAAAAGCAUCGGCUAACUCCGUGCCAGCAGCCGCGGUAAUACGGAGGAUGCGAGCGUUAUCCGGAUUUAUUGGGUUUAAAGGGUGCGUAGGCGGGCUGUUAAGUCAGCGGUAAAAGCCCGGGGCUCAACCCCGGCGAGCCGUUGAAACUGGCUGUCUUGAGAUGUCGAGAGGUAUGCGGAAUGCGCAGUGUAGCGGUGAAAUGCUUAGAUAUUGCGCAGAACUCCGAUUGCGAAGGCAGCAUACCGGCGGCGAUCUGACGCUGAGGCACGAAAGCGUGGGUAUCGAACAGGAUUAGAUACCCCUGUAGUC
rnacentral:rRNA from 1 species